GCCCUCGUAGCUCAAUGGAUAGAGCGUCUGCUUGCGGAGCAAAAGGUUCGGCGUUCGAGUCGCCGCGGGGGCG
rnacentral:tRNA from 1 species